CCUUGUCGGGUAAGUUCCGACCUGCACGAAUGGCGUAAUGAUGGCCAGGCUGUCUCCACCCGAGACUCAGUGAAAUUGAACUCGCUGUGAAGAUGCAGUGUACCCGCGGCAAGACGGAAAGACCCCGUGAACCUUUACUAUAGCUUGACACUGAACAUUGAGCCUUGAUGUGUAGGAUAGGUGGGAGGCUUUGAAGUGUGGACGCCAGUCUGCAUGGAGCCGACCUUGAAAUACCACCCUUUAAUGUUUGAUGUUCUAACGUGGACCCGUUACCCGGGUUGCGGACAGUGUCUGGUGGGUAGUUUGACUGGGGCGGUCUCCUCCUAAAGAGUAACGGAGGAGCACGAAGGUUGGCUAAUCCUGGUCGGACAUCAGGAGGUUAGUGCAAUGGCAUAAGCCAGCCUGACUGCGAGCGUGACGGCGCGAGCAGGUGCGAAAGCAGGUCAUAGUGAUCCGGUGGUUCUGAAUGGAAGGGCCAUCGCUCAACGGAUAAAAGGUACUCCGGGGAUAACAGGCUGAUACCGCCCAAGAGUUCAUAUCGACGGCGGUGUUUGGCACCUCGAUGUCGGCUCAUCACAUCCUGGGGCUGAAGUAGGUCCCAAGGGUAUGGCUGUUCGCCAUUUAAAGUGGUACGCGAGCUGGGUUUAGAACGUCGUGAGACAGUUCGGUCCCUAUCUGCCGUGGGCGCUGGAGAACUGAGGGGGGCUGCUCCUAGUACGAGAGGACCGGAGUGGACGCAUCACUGGUGUUCGGGUUGUCAUGCCAAUGGCACUGCCCGGUAGCUAAAUGCGGAAGAGAUAAGUGCUGAAAGCAUCUAAGCACGAAACUUGCCCCGAGAUGAGUUCUCCCUGAGACUUAGAGUCUCCUGAAGGAACGUUGAAGACGACGACGUUGAUAGGCCGGGUGUGUAAGCGCAGCGAUGCGUUGAGCUAACCGGUACUAAUGAACCGUGAGGCUUAACCUUACAACGCCGAAG
rnacentral:rRNA from 1 species